AAGAGUGCGCAGCGGGUAUAUAAAUAUGACAUGUAUUUAUAAAUUUAUAUUAAAUAUAUUUUUGUUGGUUAUAAUGUUACUAAUUCAUAUUUACUUUUUCCCAAACAGGGAAUUAAGAGGUGUGUAGCCGUACAAAAAAUAAAAACACCCCCCCCCCCCC
rnacentral:sRNA from 1 species